rnacentral:rRNA from 1 species
GUGGGGAAUAUUGGGCAAUGGGCGCAAGCCUGACCCAGCCAUGCCGCGUGAGUGAUGAAGGCCUUCGGGUCGUAAAGCUCUGUGGGGAGGGACGAAAACCCUUGUGAUAACACCACGAGGACUUGACGGUACCUCCUUAGCAAGCACCGGCUAACUCCGUGCCAGCAGCCGCGGUAAUACGGAGGGUGCAAACGUUGCUCGGAAUCAUUGGGCGUAAAGCGCACGUAGGCGGCUCGUUAAGUCGGAUGUGAAAUCCCCGGGCUCAACUCGGGAAGAGCAUUCGAAACUGGCGAGCUUGAGUAUGGAAGAGGGUCGCGGAAUUCCCGGUGUAGAGGUGAAAUUCGUAGAUAUCGGGAGGAACACCAGUGGCGAAGGCGGCGACCUGGGCCAAUACUGACGCUGAGGUGCGAAAGCGUGGGGAGCAAACAGGAUUAGAAACCCCAGUAGUCC